GGCGUGGUGGAACACUUGGCGGCUUCUUGUGACUUGCGAACACAAACACGUGGCAGGUUUUGUCGGAUAAUUUGCAGAAAUUCACUUCGAAAUUUGUUCAAGUAAAAUUCGGACUGAAAUUCGAUGUAACUUGCGACUGAUUGACAAGCGUUGCUGUGUUUACUUACAUGUUAAUGCAUUUUUUAGUAUUACUGCAUUCCUUAACCUCGCCCUUAAUAUGAAAGCCAUUUCUAUUUUCUAGACACGCACCUCGCAAGGAAGCUUUAUUGACUAUAUACUAAAACAAAUUGUUUUGAGUUCAGUUCACAUAGCAGUCUCUUAAUUCGAGCAACAGUUUAAUAACUAUUAUUUUUAACACUUAAAUAAUUCAAACUUAUAUAUACGAACGAAAACUGCAAACUAUAUAAAUAAAGCGUGUCAAUUUUCGACUCAUUCUCAACAUGCAGGAUACGCUGUUACAGCGAGUUAGUUUUUGGUGGCCAUGCAUGCAAAAGUGGGCCGCUUAUUUUGCUUACGAGUUACGUGGACGUAUAAUUAUUGCUGUUACAUAAACGUUCCGGUGUUCAAGAGCUACAUAUAGCCGAUAAAAAAUUGCGUGCUCAUUAUAAUCGCCGAUCACAUAGCUUUAUCACAGUCUCAAACCUUCAGACAAACAUAUCCACAUCCCUCUCCCCCCUUCGGACAUCCUAAGACAUUUUUCCUCCCUCCCCCUUCGGACAGCAAAAAUUUCCUCCGUGGGGGGGUAUGGAUCUUUUCUGGA